UACGUAGGGUGCAAGCGUUGUCCGGAAUUAUUGGGCGUAAAGAGCUCGUAGGCGGUUUGUUGCGUCGGCUGUGAAAUCCCGAGGCUCAACCUCGGGUCUGCAGUCGAUACGAGCAAACUAGAGUGUUGCAGGGGAGACUGGAAUUCCUGGUGUAGCGGUGAAAUGCGCAGAUAUCAGGAGGAACACCCGGUGGCGAAGGGCGGGUCUCUGGGGCAACAACUGACGCUGGAGGAGCGAAAGCGUGGGGAGCGAACAGG
rnacentral:rRNA from 1 species